rnacentral:sRNA from 1 species
UCUUGGCUAAGGGCAUGAGUUUCCGAAAUAACUGUUGAGUCCCUUAAAGAGCAAACUCCUCGUUCUACACACUCCCCUCUCACUACUGCGCUUAACUAAAAUAAA